AUGCUCACUGCGCCUGCGCUGGCUGUGUUUCCCACCCCCAGGCUGCUGCUGUCCCUACCGAAUCUUGCUGUGUGCGUUGAGAUCAGAAAAUGGGCAAUUUUUCUCAGCUCCUCAGGCUCCAAGGUGCUGGCAACACGGGAAGGAGAUGAGAGAUCAAGAAAUAUUAUCCAGUGGCUCUAUGCAGUUCAAAGGGUAGAAGAAAGAAGACCCAGUCAAGGUUUUCGGAUUGGCAGUCUCCAGGUGACAUCUGGUUUUUCUGCCUCCCCCCGAAGGUGGAACAGCAUUGGAAUAGCUUUCCUUACUAGAUACUGGAAAUCCAAUCAGACAUGGGAUGAUCAAGUAUCUAAUCUCCUGGAGCUCCAAGUGCCUUGCUAUCAUUUUCAUACAGGAGGGGCUCAGAGACAGAUGAAAUCAUCACAGAUGGGUUUCAAGGUACGAGAGAAUCACCUUGACUCUGUGUCUCACAGAGCACUUAGUGUAAGACUGAAAAUUUAUUUAUCACCUACAUCAAAGGAAAAGGCUCACAUGGAUGUUGCUGAAUGACCAACACUCCCAGACACACACACUCUCCCGAUCCUUCAUCUAAUGGUUUAGUUAUGGUUCUCAGAGUGUAGAGAAG
rnacentral:lncRNA from 1 species